GUGUCAGCAGCCGCGGUAAUACGUAGGGUGCAAACGUUGUUCGGAAUCACUGGGCAUAAAGAGCGCGUAGGCGGUCUGAUAAGUCCUGUGUGAAAGCCCCCGGCUUAACCGGGGAACUGCACAGGAUACUGUCAGGCUAGAGUGCAGGAGGGGAGAGCGGAAUUCCUGGUGGAGCGGUGAAAUGCGUAGAUAUCAGGAGGAACGCCGGUGGCGAAAGCGGCUCUCUGGUCUGCAACUGACGCUGAGGUGCGAAAGCUAGGGGAGCAAACGGGAUUAGAUACCCGGGUAGUCC
rnacentral:rRNA from 1 species